UGCAUUCACUACUGUAAGUCACUCUAGAUAAGAGCGUCUGCUAAAUGACAAAUG
rfam:Salmo salar isolate Sally breed double haploid chromosome ssa08, whole genome shotgun sequence.